rnacentral:tRNA from 1 species
GUUUUUAUAGUUUAUUUAAAACAUUGGUCUUGUAAACCAAAAAAAAAAGAAACUUUUUUAAAACU